UUCUUAUUAGCUUAAUGGUAAAGCAGAAUACUUCUAAUAUUCCGAUCCAGGUUCAAGUCCUGAAUAAGAAU
rfam:Jatropha curcas cultivar GZQX0401 scaffold2055_1, whole genome shotgun sequence.